UGCCCGGUAGCUAAAUGCGGAAGAGAUAAGUGCUGAAAGCAUCUAAGCACGAAACUUGCCCCGAGAUGAGUUCUCCCUGAGACUUAAAGUCUCCUGAAGGAACGUUGAAGACGACGACGUUGAUAGGCCGGGUGUGUAAGCGCAGCGAUGCGUUGAGCUAACCGGUACUAAUGAACCGUGAGGCUUAACCUU
rnacentral:rRNA from 1 species